rnacentral:lncRNA from 1 species
AAGAAACUUUCUGCGAAGUUAUUCACUACAUAAGGUGAAAAUUAGUGAAGAGGGAGUCUCAGCAGGUGAAGAUGCUGCAAGAAAGUUUCCCGAAGUAUUCCUGGAAAUAAUAACGUUUAACAAAAAUCUGAACCCUAUGGCUUUAAAAGAUUACUAUCAACGAAACCAAGCAUCCGGUGAACUAGAUGGAAAAUAAAAAGGCUUGGGUCACACCUUCAUUUUCCAAUUAUGAUUCUUAAAUCAUUUUGUGCCUGAGGUGGUAGAGUAUCUGCGUUGAAGCCAAAUUGAUUUCAAAGUUUUGAUGCUAAUCUACAACACUCCUGAAUACGCCAUCAUUAAUGGGUCAGGGAAUCAUUGCUGCAUCUAAA